AGAGUUUGAUCCUGGCUCAGAUUGAACGCUGGCGGCAUGCCUUACACAUGCAAGUCGAACGGCAGCACGGACUUCGGUCGGGUGGCGAGUGGCGAACGGGUGAGUAAUACAUCGGAACGUGUCCUGGAGUGGGGGAUAGCCCGGCGAAAGCCGGAUUAAUACCGCAUACGCUCUGAGGAGGAAAGCGGGGGAUCUUCGGACCUCGCGCUCAAGGGGCGGCCGAUGGCAGAUUAGCUAGUUGGUGGGGUAAAGGCCUACCAAGGCGACGAUCUGUAGCUGGUCUGAGAGGACGACCAGCCACACUGGGACUGAGACACGGCCCAGACUCCUACGGGAGGCAGCAGUGGGGAAUUUUGGACAAUGGGCGCAAGCCUGAUCCAGCAAUGCCGCGUGUGUGAAGAAGGCCUUCGGGUUGUAAAGCACUUUUGUCCGGAAAGAAAACCUCUGCCCUAAUACGGCGGGGGGAUGACGGUACCGGAAGAAUAAGCACCGGCUAACUACGUGCCAGCAGCCGCGGUAAUACGUAGGGUGCAAGCGUUAAUCGGAAUUACUGGGCGUAAAGCGUGCGCAGGCGGUCCGUUAAGACAGAUGUGAAAUCCCCGGGCUUAACCUGGGAACUGCAUUUGUGACUGGCGGACUCGAGUAUGGCAGAGGGGGGUAGAAUUCCACGUAGCAGUGAAAUGCGUAGAGAUGUGGAGGAAUACCGAUGGCGAAGGCAGCCCCCUGGGCCAAUACUGACGCUCAUGCACGAAAGCGUGGGGAGCAAACAGGAUUAGAUACCCUAGUAGUCC
rnacentral:rRNA from 1 species